rnacentral:rRNA from 1 species
UACGGAGGGUGCGAGCGUUGUCCGGAAUCAUUGGGCGUAAAGGGCGCGUAGGUGGCCCUCGCAAGCGUGCGGUGAAAGCUCGGGGCUCAACCCCCGAGUCGGCCGUGCGAACUGCGGGGCUCGAGCACUGUAGAGGCAGGCGGAAUUCCGGGUGUAGCGGUGGAAUGCGCAGAUAUCAGGAGGAACACCGGUGGCGAAGGCGGGUCUCUGGGCAGUAACUGACGCUGAGGAGCGAAAGCGUGGGGAGCGAACAGG